rnacentral:rRNA from 1 species
CGUGGGUAACCUGCCCAAGAGAUCGGGAUAACACCUGGAAACAGAUGCUAAUACCGGAUAACAACAGAUGAUGCCUAUCAACUGUUUAAAAGAUGGUUCUGCUAUCACUCUUGGAUGGACCUGCGGUGAAUUAGCUAGUUGGUAGGGUAACGGCCUACCAAGGCGAUGAUGCAUAGCCGAGUUGAGAGACUGAUCGGCCACAUUGGGACUGAGACACGGCCCAAACUCCUACGGGAGGCAGCAGUC